AGAACUUGUUGAUGAAGAGACACCUGAUGUACCAGUGGUUGAGAAACCUGAAAAACAAAUGGUUGAGGAGAAACUUGAAGAACCAAUGAUUGAGGAGAAAUCUGACGAACUAGUCGAGGAGAAAUCUCAACAACCAGCGGCUGAAAAGAAACCUGAAGAACCAGCAGCUAAAGAAUCACCUAAAGAGGUAGCAGGGGAGGAAACAUCUGAAGAACUAGCACUUGAAGAGAAACUUAAAGAACCAACAGUUGAAGAGAUACCUAAAGAACUAGUUCUUGAAGAUAAACCUGGAAACCCAGAAAAUGAAGAGGAUAAACUUGAAACAGUAACUCUCCAGGAAAAGGUAAGAAACAAGCAGUGUCACAGAGUUUAUCCAUCCUAUUAGCUCUAUAUAUGCAACGAAUUCACAUCUGUUUAUCCACUGAAAGACCAAGUGAAACUUUAAAUUUUCUUGCAGAAUUUACCAAUUGCAGACUCAAAGGACAAGACUGACAAUGCAACUCCCUACAACAACAAUGAUAUUGCUGACUAUGUAGCAGUUAAGGAAAAAACUGAAGAACCAGUAGUUGAGGAAAAACAUGAAGAACCGGCAAUUGAAGAGAAAUCUGAAGAAUCAGCAUUAAUGAAAAAAACUGAAGAACCAGCGGUUGAGGUAAAACCUGAAGAACCGUCAGUGGAAAAGAAGCCUGAAGAACCAGCGGUUAGGAAAAAACCUGAAGAACCAGCAGUUAAUGAGGAACCUGAAAAAUCAGCAACGGAAGAGAAACCUGAAGAACCAAUUGUUGAGGAGAAACUUGAAGAACCAACUCUUGAAGAGAAACCUGGAAAAUCAGUAAUUGAAGAAACACCUGAAGAACCAACACUGGAAGUAACACCUAAAGAACAAGCGUUUAAAGAGAAACCAGAAGAACCAGCAGUUGAAGAGGAAAAAUCUGACAAGGUAACUCUUUUGGAAAAGGUGAGCAUCAAACAUUGUCACAAAUUUUAGCCAUCCUACUAGUUCUGUAUGUGCAAUAAUUCGUAUCAACUUAUCUAUUGAAAGACUAAGUGAAACUUUAAUUCUUCUUGCAGAAUAUACCAGUUGUAGAUUUCAAUGAUAAGACUGACAGUGUAAUUCCAUGCAAUACCAACGACGAUGUUGCUGAAUACGUAGCAGUUGAGGAAAACCUUGAAGAACCAACAGUUGAGGAGAAACCUGAAGAAUUAGCGGUUGAAGAGAAACCUGAAAAACCAGCAAUUGAGGAGAAAAGUGAAGAACCAAUAAUUGAGAAGAAACCUAAAGAACCAGCAGUUGAGGAGAAACCUGAAGAACAAACCGUUGAAGAGAAACUUGAAGAACCAACAAUUGAAGAUGAGAAACUUGAAAGGGUAACUCUCCUAGAAAAGGUGAGGAUCUAGCAUUGUCACAAAGUUUGUCCAUCCUAAUAGUUUUAUAUGUGCAAGCUUUUCAGAUCUGCUUAUCUAUUGAAAGACUAAGUGAAACUUUAAAUUCUUCUUACAGAAUAUGCCAGUUGUAGACUCGAACGACAAGACUGACUGUGAAAUUCCAUGCAACACCAACAAUGAUGUUGCUUACUAUCCAGCAGUUGAGGAAAAUCUUGAAAAAACAACAAUUGAGGAAACAACUGAUGAACCAGUGGUUGAAGAGAAACCUGAUGCACAAGCGAUUAAGGAGAAACCUGAAGUACCAACGAUUGAGCAGAAACUUGAAGAGUUAGCAGGAGAGGAAACCCAUGAAGAACUAGCAGUUGAAGAGAAGCUAGAAGAACCAAUUACUGAAGAGACACCUGCAGAACUAGUUAUUGAAGAGAAACAUGAAAACCCAACAAUUGAAGAGGAGAAACCUGAAACAGAAGCUCUCCUAAAGAAGGUUAGGAUUAAACACUGUUUCAAAAUUUAUCCAUCCUAUUAGCUUUAUAUGUGCAAGGAACUCACAUAUGUUAAUCUACUGAAAGACUAAGUCAAACUUUCAAGUUUUCUUGCAGAAUAUGCCAAUUGUAGACUCAAAGGACAAGAUUGACGUUGAAAGUCCAGGCAAUAACAACAAUGAUGGUGCUGACUAUCCAGCAGUUGAAGAUAAACCUGAAGAACUAACAGUUGAAGAAAAACAUGAAGAACAAGCAAUUGAAGAGAAACCUGAAGAACCAGUGGCCACAGAGAAACCUGAAGAACCAGCGAUUAAGGAAAAAGCUGAUGAACCAGCAGUGCAAGAGAAACCUGAAGAACCAGCUGUGGAAAAGAAACCUGAAGAACCAGCAGUCGAGGAGAAACUUGACGAACCACCAGUUGAAGAGAAAUCAGAAGAACCAGUAGUUGAACAAACACCUGCAGGACCAGCAUGGGAAGAAACAUCUAAAGAACUAGCAUUUGAAGAGAAACCUGAAGAACCAGCAGUUGAAAAAACACCUGAAGAACUAGCAGUUGGAAAGAACCCUGAAAAAACAGCAGUCGGAGAGAAACAUGAAAAAGUAACUCUCUUGGAAAAGGUGAGGAUCAAGCACAAUCACAAAUUUUAUCCAUCCUAUUAGUUAUGUAUGCGCAACAAUUCACAUUUGCCUGUUGGAAGAUUAAGUUAAACUUUAAAUUCUUCUUGCAGAAUAUACCAAUUAUAGAGUUAAACGAGAAGAAUAACAGUGCAACUCCAUGCAAUACCAACAAUGAUGUUGCUGACUAUCCAGCAGUUGAGGAAAAACCUGAAGAACCAGCGAUUGAGAAAAAACCUGAAGAACCAAUGGCUAAGGAGAAACUUGAAGAACCAAUUGUUGAGGAUAAACCUGAAAAAUCAGUGAUAGAGGAGAAAUCUGAAAAACUAGCAACUGAAGAAACACUUGGAGAGCAAGCAGGGGAGGAAACACCUGAAGCACUAGCAGUUGAAGAGAAACCUGACAAAUCAACAGUUGAAGAGACAGUUGAAGAACUAGCUAUUGAACAGAAACCUAAAAAAACAGCAGUUGAAAAAGAGAAACCUGAAGCCGUAACUCUCCUGGAAAAGGUGAUCAAGCACUGUCACAGAGAUUCCUUGCUCUAUACGUGCAAGGAAUUUACAUCUACUUAUCUACUGAAAGAUUUAGUGAAACUUUAAAUUCUUCUUGCAGAAUAUGCCAGUUGUAGAUUCAAAGGACAAGAUUAACAGUGAAAUUCCAUGCAAUGCCAACAAUGAUGUUUUUGACUAUCCAGCAGUUGAGGCAAAACCUGAAGAACUAGCAAUUGAAAAAAAAUAUGAAGAACCAGUAGUUAUAUUGGAGAAACCUGCAGAACUAGCAGUUGAGGAGACACCUGAAAAAUCAGUAGUUGAAGAGAAGCCUGAAAAACCAGCAGCACGGGAAGAAGCACUUGAAGAACCAGCAUGGGAAGAAACACCUGAAGAACCAACAGUUGAAGAGAAACUUGAUAAACCAGCAACUGAAAAAGAGAAACCUGAAAAGGUAACUUUCCGCGAAAAGGUGAGGAUCAAGCACUAUCACAAAGUUCGCCCAUCCUAAUAGUCUUGUAUGUGCAAGGAAUUCACAUAUGCUUUUUUAUUGAAAGACUAAGUGAAACCUUCAAUUCUUCUUGCAGAAUAUGCCUGUUGUAGACUCAAAUGGUAAGACUGGCAGUAAAAUUACAUGCACUACCAAAAAAGAUGUUGCUGAUAAUCCAGCAGUUGAGGAUGAAGAACCAGCAGUUGAGGAUAAACCUGAUGAACCAACAGUUGAAGAAAAACCUGAAGAACCAGCAAUUGAAGGAAAACUUGAGAAACUGGCAGUUGAAGAUAAACUUGAGGAACCAGCUUUUGAACAGAACCCUGAGGAAACAGCAGUUGAACAGAACCCCGAGGAACCGCCAGUUGAAGAAAAACCUGAGGUACCAGUAGUUGACGAAAAAGCUGAAGAACUAGUGGUUGAAGAGAAACUUGAAGAACCAUCAGUUAAAGAAAAGCCGGAAGAACAAAGCAGGGAAGAAACCGAAGCUCCCAUAAAAGAGGCAAAGCAUAACCAGAAUGCAAAUGAAGCAAGCAGCAGUCUGCCAACAGCUAUGCUAAGCCAUCCGCCUGCUCAAGGGACAACAAUGACCAACCCAAUAUUGGGAGAACCAAUUAGUAUUGACGAACCUAAAAAUGUGCAACAGCUAGAUUCUCAAGAAAUAUCAGAAAUCGAUGAUGCAAUGCAGAGAGAUGAAGAUAACAUAAAGCAGAAGGAUGAGGCUUCUUUCACUGAAGAACAGAAGUUUACACCACAGAGUGAGUAAUACUAGUUCACAGACAUGCUUUCCCUAUCCAAUUGAUUUUAUUUGCAAUGGAAAAUGGUGACACACUUUAGAUAACAGAUCAAAUCGAUUUAACCAUAGUCUUACUCGCAAAAAGUAGAGAAAAAUACAAAUGGAACCAAUCUCUAAAAGGAAGCUGAAAUGGAGAGAAGCACCAGAGACAAGAUGCCUUUCUGUUUUGGAGAAACCUCGAAAAAGUAGAAUGCACAUCCACAGUAUUUAGCAAUAAUGAUCAUCUAUCAUUACAUAUAUGAACAUAAUUUAUUUAUUACUACAUUGAUAUAAUAAAGAAAUCCUAUGAUAUGCUUUUGCUAAGAUAUUAGGGCUAGCAGCAUUCAUUAAGCCAUAAAUUCCAAUAUGGAUGUAACAAGCACUUUUUUGGGGGUUCAAAGAGAUGCACUUUCUAGUCACUUCAAUAAUGACUAGAUGUGGUAUUAACUACUACCGACAUAUUGCAGGUUAUGACAAUCAAAAUACUUCGACAGGGGAUAGUUUCUUAAAUAAGAACAUGUUCGCUGAAGGUGAAGCUGUGCACAUUAAUAGUCAAGAGGAUCUAAUCAGGCAAGAAACUUCAGGAAGCACAAAAUCUGAGAUAAAUCCAAAUUCAAGUAAAGGAACAGAAAAUGAGGCAAGUGAUAUUGCUAAUAGAGAAGGAUCAAGCAGACUUGGUUAAGUAAAUAAUUUAGUUGCUCUUCGUCCUUAUUGUUCUAAACUUGAUGAGCUACUUGGUUAUGCAGGUAAAUGACCAUCCAGAAGGACCAGAAGUACCAAAACAAACUGAUGAAACGGAAAAAUGUAUAGUACAGAAGCAAGAAGAUUCCGUUCGCAACCAGGACGAACUGGCUGUUGAAGAAAAAAUGAGAUCUUGUGAAGAGGUUGAAACAAAGGUAUUAGAUGAUCUGGCUUCUAUUAAUACUCUGAUCUUUCCUGUCCAUAGACUAAUGAUAGCCAAAACUAUAACUUCAAAACAUAUAAACAAACUUAAAGAUAUAAAUGCUGGUGAUGGAAUGGAACAAAUAAAAACAUUAUGGAAAAAGAAGAAAAGACUUUGGACAAAAUUCUGACGUCCACCAAAGAAGAAAUUGGUACCAAGAACUCUGAAGAAGGCCAAGUGGUUUCAGAGAUUCCCAGUCAAGAGUUUAAGUGACCAUAGAAGCCUGUUCUUAAUUCAUAUAUGUAACUCUCAGAUAUAAAGAUGCCUUCUCUCUUUCUACUAAAAUCACAAAAUUCCCUCUUUUUCAAAUCUGCAGAACUUUCAACAAGCUAAUUUAAUCAGAGAUGAAGCUUUAUUGAAAGAUGAGCAUGGAGUCGAGAACUUCGUGGUAGUUUCUUCAGAAGAAAUUAGUUGUGAAGGCUCUAUUGAAAAGUUAAACGAAAUGAGAACCUGAGAAUGAAUCAGCCAAUUAGCAUCAAGGCACUCAUAUGACAACCAUUCACUGAGGGUCUUAAGUUUAUUGCAUGCAUAUGAAUUAUCUUGCCACCUUGUCUUUCUGGGAGAAAUAUUAAAAUUCAAGUCUGAAAGUAUUUGAAGUAUAUAGUUCGUAGUAACUACUAACUACUAUAAAUUUAAAGUUCUCCAUAUAAAACAAAAUAAGUCUUCACUUCCUUUCCCAGAGUUUUUGUUUAUUCUGUAGUUAUUGCACAAAAUGGGAAACAAUAGAUGAUAAGAUGAUAUAUACAAGAAAUAGAAAAUUAAUUCACUGCUGAUAGAGUAUAUUCUAUUGCACAAAUAUCAACCAUCUUUGCUCUUUUAUUUGUUUAUUUAUUUAUUUUGUUCGAGGCUAUUACAAGUGAGACAUCCUAGUAUCAUUGGGAUUCAUAUGCGCUUCUUUUGAAAACUAAGUCGAAACAAAAAUUAGCCAAAUGCUGACAAAUGGGUAUGACUUAUUUUUCUGAAAAAGAACGGACCAUUGACAUUGCAAAUCGAGUAUUCCUUUGAGUCUUUGAAACAAUAAGUUGCAAGGGAAGGUUUAAGCAAAUUUCAAAUAUUGCAGGUAGAUGCCUUCAUGCAUUUAUUCUGAUCAUUUUAUUGGUUUUCUUCGGCAGACUCUUUUAACAUUGACAAAAAGAAAGAUUCUUCUUGGAGAAUUAUCAGUUAAUAAAGGAAGAGGCAGUGGAAACUCUUUCUCGGGGAAUUCCAAAAUAUGACCUUAAGAGAAUUCACAUGACGUUAAGCUAGAAACCAAGGACUUAAACCACUAGGCCACGGCAACUGUAUUUCAGUUAUAAACAGGAAUCUUGCUAAAAUAAGAAGUCCCAAAAAUCAUCAUGUAGACAUCUGUUAACUUGAUAUAAUGCUCGGCAGUUGACAAUUACUAAAACCAUCUGGAGAUUAAGAUAUGAACACCUUCUUCUCUCGUUAGAAUGAUUCUUAUAUGCAUAACUCCUUGUCCUUUUCUCACCAGUGUAUGUAACAUACUAAACAAUGGUAGCACUCAAAAUAUUCUGAGCAAUCACGAUCAUUGUUGCAGAACAGUUGAGCAUGUGUAAUAACCCUAUGCGAGAUGCAACCAAAAGAAUUCCACCAUCCUAUUAGUUCCGUAUGUGUAAGGAAUUCACAUCUACUUAUCUAUUGAAAGACUAAGUGAAACUUUAAAUUCUUCUUGUAGAAUAUGCCGGUUGUAGACUCGAACGACAAGACUGACAGUGAAAUUUCAUGCAAUACCGACAAUGAUGUUGCUGACCAUCCGGCAGUUGCAGAAAAACCCGAUGAUUCAGCAGUUGAAGAGAAACCCGAGGAAUGGAUAGUUGAAGAGAAACUGGAAGAAACAGCCGUUAAGGAGAAAGCCGAAGAACCAAAAGUUGAGGAGAAACUCGAAGAACCAGCAAUUGAGGAGAAACCUGACAAACCAGCGGUUGAAGGGACACCUGAAGAACCUGCAGUGAAAGAAACACCUGAACAACCAACGUUUGAAGAGAAACCUCAAGAACCAGCAAUUCAGGAGAAACCUGAAGAACCAACAGUUGAAAAGAAACCUGAAGAACCAACAAUUGAUGAAGAACUUGAAGAACCAACAGUUGCGGAGAAACCCGAAGAACCAGCAGUUAAAGAAAAACAUGUAGAACCAGCAAUUGAAGAAAAACGUGAGGAACCACAAGUUGAAGAAAAACAUGAGGAACCAGCAGUUGAAGAAAAAACUGAAGAACCAGCAGUUGAAGAAAAACCUAAAGAACCAAAAGUUGAGGAGAAACCUAAAGAACCAGCGGCUGAGGAGAAACCCGAAGAACCAGCAGUGAAAGAAACACCUGAAGAACCAGCGGUUAAAGAGACACCUGAGGAACUAGCAGUUGAAGAGAAACCUGAAGAACCAGCAAUUGAAGAGAAACCUGAAGAACCAGUAGCUGACAAAAAACUUGAGCAACCAACAAUUGAGG
rnacentral:lncRNA from 1 species